AGGUGAGCAACCUAGAACUGUUCUAGGAUUUUGGGUGAGAGAAAAAUUAAAGAGAAAAGAGUCUUCAACAUAUUUUUAUUCACCAUCUAGCAUCUCCUCUGAUCCAUCUUCGACAUUGAAAAGGUCUGAGAUGAUCAAAGGAAGAGAUCAAAUCAGAUCUGCCAUCAAAAGCCAACUACGCGGCUAGCACUCCUGCUGAGGGCUGAUUGGUUCGAAGACUUCGUGUGGACCAUCCGUAGAGGUCAGGUACUUGUGCAACUGCGAGUGAUCAGAGAAGACUUUUAGAUCUAUGUUCUUAAUUG
rnacentral:lncRNA from 1 species